rnacentral:lncRNA from 1 species
GCCCCUUAAUGACGCUUGGCUGGAUCACUUGAUAAGUCUGAGGUUUACAUAACCUUAACACUUCCACACGGACGAUAAAUUUAUCCCAUGACAUUUAUUCAACUGAUAUGUCUGCAGUAUCAAAAAAUAAUCAUCAAUAACAUGAUGAUUGAAGUUCCAGACUUCGCUGUGGCGGAGAAAAAAGAUUACACUUUUCGGGGAACAAUCAUUGAGAAAAAAUUGGGCAGGGAGAAUGAAGAAUGAGAUAACAACGCAUGAAUGGGAUAUCUCGCAGCAUUCGAUUGGUCAUACGGCUUUCCUCCUCUGCUUAGCAAUGUUGUCUGCAUCGAGUCACCAGACUUGGCAAGCCUGCUCAUGUCAGGCAAUUUUUUUCCCUUCAAUUUUUUUCAGUGUACCAUUUAGACGCCGGAAGGUAUUUUUGUUCACGAUGGAAAAAAUAAUGAUGACUUUAUAGCCUACUAUUCGUUGUUGUCGACGCCGUGUAUAAGAAUUUCGUCGAGAGACGUGGUGAAAAUGGCAAGUAGCACUCAUGCACAUGUUUUUCAGAUAGAUUUAACACUGAGGUCAGCGCCAAAUACUAUACUGAAGUCAGUGCCAAAACUGACUGAGGCCAGUGUAAACAACCUUAACAUCAGUCUUGUUCGGUGUUAGCAAAGCGCUGAAGAAGCAUGAUCUACCGUUUUACCGAUAACAGUAAGCUCACAGCACUUUCAAUUUCCUUCCAUCGAUUCUCUUUUCAUUCCACCCUACAGUUGUCCAUUUUCUCAAACCUGAACAGUUCAAAAUCGAGGAGUGAAAUUCAGUGCCGGAGUCUAUAUUGCGUCCAAAAACCCCGACUAAUAUGAAUGCGAACUGAAAUUAGCACCAUAAUAAAGUAUGACACUCCGCAAAAGGGUAGAUUCCGUUUCGUCAUAGUGUAAGUCAUUCUGUAAGGAGAAUAUAUUCCGACAUGCAUUCAUGUUAUUCGGCGGGGGGGGGGGGUUGGACACAAUAUAGACUCCGGCACAGAAUUUCACGCCAAAAUUUUUUACAGUGUGCAGUUUCAUACCAAUACUGAACUGCAGGGUUGAAAGAAUGGACCCAUAGCUUCUGAGCGGAAAAUUGUAUUUAAAGAGAGAAGUUUUAAAGUCAGGGUUUGGAAGAAAAUGGUACCACUUCGAUGGCUAAAGAACGA